UACGGAGGGUGCAAGCGUUAUCCGGAUUCACUGGGUUUAAAGGGUGCGUAGGUGGGCAGGUAAGUCAGCGGUGAAAUCUCCGGGCUUAACCCGGAAACUGCCAUUGAUACUAUCUGUCUUGAAUACCCUGGAGGUGAGCGGAAUAUGUCAUGUAGCGGUGAAAUGCUUAGAUAUGACAUAGAACACCCAUUGCGAAGGCAGCUCACUACGGGAAUAUUGACACUGAGGCACGAAAGCGUGGGGAUCAAACAGG
rnacentral:rRNA from 1 species